GGCGGGACGGGACGAACAGUCGCUCAUAACCCGAAGGUCGGAGGUUCAAAUCCUCCCCCGCCACCA
rnacentral:tRNA from 1 species